rnacentral:rRNA from 1 species
UACAGAGGGGGCAAGCGUUGUUCGGAAUUACUGGGCGUAAAGGGCGCGUAGGCGGCCUGUUAAGUCGGACGUGAAAUCCCUCGGCUCAACCGGGGAACUGCGUCCGAUACUGGCGGGCUUGAAUUCGGGAGAGGGAUGUGGAAUUCCAGGUGUAGCGGUGAAAUGCGUAGAUAUCUGGAGGAACACCGGUGGCGAAGGCGGCAUCCUGGACCGACAUUGACGCUGAGGCGCGAAAGCCAGGGGAGCAAACGGGG